GGAGGAACACCGGCGACGACGACGGCCCCCUCGUGGCUCUUGGUGAUGAAGGGGAAAGACAGGGGAGGGAACGAGCCGAAAUACCCCGGUAGGUAGUCCACUCCCUGUUGGAUGCGAGGUGGGGGGGGAGAUAUCCCUCCGGGCCGAAGCUCCGCGUUAAGCAUCCCGCCUGGGGAGUACGGCCGCAAGGCUAAAACUCAAAUGAAUUGACGGG
rnacentral:rRNA from 1 species